rnacentral:rRNA from 1 species
CCUACGGGUGGCAGCAGUGGGGAAUAUUGCACAAUGGGGGAAACCCUGAUGCAGCGACGCCGCGUGAGUGAAGAAGUAAUUCGUUAUGUAAAGCUCUAUCAGCAGGGAAGAAAAUGACGGUACCUGAGUAAGAAGCCCCGGCUAACUACGUGCCAGCAGCCGAGGUAAUACGUAGGGGGCAAGCGUUAUCCGGAUUUACUGGGGGUAAAGGGAGCGUAGACGGCAGUGCAAGUCCGGAGUGAAAGGGGGGGGCUCAACCCCCGAAAUGCCCUUGAAACUGUACGGCUGGAGUGCAGGAGAGGUAAGUGGAAUUCCUGGUGUAGCGGUGAAAUGCGUAGAUAUUAGGCAGAACACCAGUGGCGAAGGCAGCUUACUGGACUGUAACUGACGUUGAGGCUCGAAAGCGUGGGGAGCAAACAGGAUUAGAUACCCGAGUAGUC